CAGCUACCACAUAUGGACAAAUUUAUACACCCGUGCGGUGGCCAAUGGUUCCAUGACUUUGCAGGUGGACAUCAAGAAAAUCCAGCUGCUGGUCCCCAAAUUGUACAUUUGGCACGACUGGAACACAUCAUAAGAAUGCUCACAAGGAACCCCAGAUGAUACCUUACAACACAAUUGCAACAGCCGCUGAAACUCAAGUUGAUCAACGUAUGAGAUUCAUUAGUAUUAAUGUUUUCCUUGGUUAACAGGGGACCAUCCAUCAAUAUUUUUUGAGAUUCUGUAUGCCCAAUAAAUUUGAUUUAUUUUUCU